GGCCUAACACAUGCAAGUCGAACGGUAACAGGAAGCAGCUUGCUUCUUUGCUGACGAGUGGCGGACGGGUGAGUAAUGUCUGGGAAACUGCCUGAUGGAGGGGGAUAACUACUGGAAACGGUAGCUAAUACCGCAUAACGUCGCAAGACCAAAGAGGGGGACCUUCGGGCCUCUUGCCAUCGGAUGUGCCCAGAUGGGAUUAGCUAGUAGGUGGGGUAACGGCUCACCUAGGCGACGAUCCCUAGCUGGUCUGAGAGGAUGACCAGCCACACUGGAACUGAGACACGGUCCAGACUCCUACGGGAGGCAGCAGUGGGGAAUAUUGCACAAUGGGCGCAAGCCUGAUGCAGCCAUGCCGCGUGUAUGAAGAAGGCCUUCGGGUUGUAAAGUACUUUCAGCGGGGAGGAAGGGAGUAAAGUUAAUACCUUUGCUCAUUGACGUUACCCGCAGAAGAAGCACCGGCUAACUCCGUGCCAGCAGCCGCGGUAAUACGGAGGGUGCAAGCGUUAAUCGGAAUUACUGGGCGUAAAGCGCACGCAGGCGGUUUGUUAAGUCAGAUGUGAAAUCCCCGGGCUCAACCUGGGAACUGCAUCUGAUACUGGCAAGCUUGAGUCUCGUAGAGGGGGGUAGAAUUCCAGGUGUAGCGGUGAAAUGCGUAGAGAUCUGGAGGAAUACCGGUGGCGAAGGCGGCCCCCUGACGAAGAC
rnacentral:rRNA from 1 species